rnacentral:rRNA from 1 species
AGGACGAACGCUGGCGGCGUGCUUAACACAUGCAAGUCACGGGGGCCCAGCAAUGGGUAACCGGCGAACGGGUGCGUAACACGUGAGUGACCUGCCGAUUUGUGGGGGAUAGCCGGGCCAACGCCCGGGUAAUACCGCAUACGCUCUUCUUGGGGCAUCUCUAGAAGAGGAAACCUCCGGGGCAAAUCGAGGGACUCGCGGCCUAUCAGCUAGUUGGCGAGGUAACGGCUCACCAAGGCUACGACGGGUAGCUGGUCUGAGAGGAUGGCCAGCCACAUUGGGACUGAGAUACGGCCCAGACCUCCGUACGGGAGGC